AUUUUCGAUGAUAAAAAUCUUCUUCGUCUUCUCUAUGAGGGUCCUGAGGUUUCAAGUGUUUACUGGCCAUACCCGUGGUAUAAAGACUGGGAAGGAGGGAGAUCCCCAUACAACAGUAGUAGAAUUGCCUCACUUGAUUCGUUGGGAAAAUUUACUUCAUCUGAUCAUUUUUCUUUUCUAUCAUCGGAUUGGGGGGUGAGCCUCCAGAGAAGACUAACACUCGAUUCUGAUGGUAAUGCUCGACUAUAUAGCCGAGAAGAGGGGAGC
rnacentral:misc_RNA from 1 species